AAACUCACCAUACACCUCUAUGCCCCACAUCAACUUACACAAGAAAUCUGUAUGCUAGUUUUAGGUUGGGGGGACCACGGAGUAUAAUUGAACCUCCAUAACAAAUGGGCUAACACCCUUAUCUACGAGAUACACCUCUAAGAAUUACUAAACUAAUGUUUAAUGACCCAAUAAUUUGAUCAAUGAACCAAGUUACCCUGGGGAUAACAGCGCAAUCUACUUCAAGAGCCCCUAUCGACAAGUAGGUUUACGACCUCGAUGUUGGAUCAGGGUAUCCUAGUGGUGCAGCCGCUACUAAU
rnacentral:rRNA from 1 species